AUGGCUUGUAAUAACUUCGAACUUUGUUUGUUAUGUCUUAUCAGUCAGAAAGACAUUUGCCCUCUCUAUUUAGGAGGAGAUAUUAACACCUUCUCCUUAAAGUACUUCUACAAUCUCUCCCCAAAGCCCUGUGAGGCAGGAAGUAUUAUUAUAUGCUCGAUCACCUCCCUGAAAUGCCUGUACACCAAUGCACGCAGCAUGGGGAACAAACAGGAAGAACUAGAGAUGUGUGUGCGGUCGCAGGGCCAUGAUCUCAUUGCCAUUACAGAGACAUGGUGGGAUAGCUCGCAUGACUGGAGUGCYGUCAUGGAUGGCUACGUGCUUUUUAGGAAAGACAGGCCAGGAAAGCGAGGUGGUGGAGUUGCUCUUUAUGUGAGAGAGCAACUGGAAUGUAUUGAGCUGUGCCUAGGGGUGGAUGAAGAGCAAGUCGAGAGCUUAUGGGGAAGGAUUAAAGGGCAGGCUAGCAUGGGUGACACUGUUGUGGGUGUUUACUACAGGCCACCUGAUCAGGAAGAGGAAGUUGAUGAGGCCUUCUACAGACAGCUGGAAGUAGCCUCACGAUCCCAGGCCCUGGUUCUCAUGGGGGACUUCAACCACCCCGAUAUCUGCUGGAAAGACAACACAGCUAGGCACAAACAGUCCUGGAGGUUCCUGCAGAGCAUUGGUGACAGCUUCUUGACACAGGUGGUGGAGGAACCAACAAGGAGAGGUGUGCUGCUGGACCUCGUACUAACAAACAAAGAAGGACUGGUGGAAGAUGUGAAGGUCGGGGGCAGCCUUGGCUGCAGUGACCAUGAGAUGGUGGAGUUCAGGAUCCUGCGAGGAGGCAGCAGGGCACUAAGUAGGAUCGCAACCCUGGACUUCAGGAGAGCAAACUUUGGCCUCUUCAGGGACCUACUUGGAGGAAUCCCAUGGGUUAGGGCCCUAGAAGGAAGGGGCGUUCAAGAGAGCUGGUUAAUAUUCAAACAUCACCUCCUCCAGGCUCAAGAGCGGUGCAUCCCUAUGAGUAGGAAGUCAAGCAAAGGAGGUAGGAGACCUGCAUGGAUGAGCAAGCAGCUCCUGGCAAAACUCAGCCAGAAGAAGGAAGUAUACAGAAAGUGGAAAGGGGGAGAGGCCACUUGGGAGGAUUAUAGAAACAUUGUCAGAGUAUGCAGGGAUGUGACGAGGAAGGCUAAGGCCCGUUUGGAAUUAAAUCUGGCAAGAGAUAUCAAGGACAGCAAGAAGGGCUUCUUCAAAUACAUCAGUAGCAAGAGGAAGACUAGGGAAAAUGUGGGCCCGCUGCUGAAUGGGGUGGGUGCCCUGGUGACAAAGGAUGCAGAGAAGGCAGAGUUACUGAAUGCCUUCUUUGCUUCAGUCUUUACUGCUCAGGCCAGCCCUCAGGAACCCCAGACCCUGGAGGCAAGAGAGAAAGUCUGGAGAAAGGAAGACUUUCCCUUGGUGGAGGAGGAUCGGGUUAGAGAUCAUUUAAGCAAACUUGACACCCACAAAUCCAUGGGCCCCAAUGGGAUGCACCCACGAGUGCUGAGGGAGCUGGCGGAUGUCAUUGCUAAGCCACUCUCCAUCAUCUUUGAAAGGUCAUGGAGAACAGGAGAGGUGCCUGAAGACUGGAAGAAAGCCAGUGUCACCCCAGUCUUCAAAAAGGGCAAGAAGGAGGACCCAGGGAACUACAGGCCAGGCAGCCUCACCUGCAUCCCUGGAAAGGUGAUGGAGCAGCUCAUCCUGGAUGUCGUCUCUAAGCAUGUGGAGGAAAAGAAGGUGAUCAGGAGUAGUCAGCAUGGCUUCACCAAGAGGAAAUCAUGCCUAACCAAUCUGAUAGCCUUCUAUGAUGGAAUGACUGGCUGGGUAGAUGAGGGGAGAGCAGUGGAUGUUGUCUACCUAGACUUCAGCAAGGCUUUUGACACUGUCUCCCAUGACAUCUUCAUAGACAAGCUCAGGAAGUGUGGUUUAGAUGAGUGGCCAGUGAGGUGGAUUGAGAACUGGCUGAAUGGCAGAGCUCAGAGAGUUGUGAUCAGAGUCUAG
rnacentral:lncRNA from 1 species